CAUGCUUUUUUAUUAAUUAAGUGAGUAAGAGAGAAUAAUAUUUUUACCAUUUUACCCUUUUUCUAAACACUUGAUUAUUUGUCUUUCUUCCAAAUCCUCCUCUUUUCAAAUCAUCUUCUUUCUUCAUCGUCACUUCCAUUUUUUUCAAACAGAUUUUAUAUCCAAUUCUCCAUUUGGUUAAUAAAAUUCAUUGUUUUUAUAUGUAACACACAAUUAUCACCAAACGAUUCAUAAAAAUAGAGAGAACUUACAUGAGUUUGGAUGGAUUAAACUUUUAAUUUGAAGAAUUUUGGGAUGAAAAUUAUAGUUUUGUAAUUUAAAGUGAAGAUGGAGAGGACGAAGAUAAAGGA
rnacentral:lncRNA from 1 species